rnacentral:rRNA from 1 species
AAUACGGGGGGGGGCAAGCGUUGUUCGGAAUUACUGGGCGUAAAGGGCUCGUAGGUGGCCAACUAAGUCGGAUGUGAAAUCCCCAGGCUCAACCUGGGAACUGCGUCCGAUACUGGAUGGCUUGAAUUCGGGAGAGGGAUGCAGAAUUCCAGGUGUAGCGGUGAAAUGCGUAGAUAUCUGGAGGAAUACCGGUGGCGAAGGCGGCAUCCUGGACCGAGAUUGACGCUGAGGAGCGAAAGCCAGGGGAGCAAACGG